AUGAACGCUGGCGGCGUGCCUAAUACAUGCAAGUCGAGCGAACAGACGAGGAGCUUGCUCCUCUGACGUUAGCGGCGGACGGGUGAGUAACACGUGGAUAACCUACCUAUAAGACUGGGAUAACUUCGGGAAACCGGAGCUAAUACCGGAUAAUAUAUUGAACCGCAUGGUUCAAUAGUGAAAGACGGUUUUGCUGUCACUUAUAGAUGGAUCCGCGCCGCAUUAGCUAGUUGGUAAGGUAACGGCUUACCAAGGCAACGAUGCGUAGCCGACCUGAGAGGGUGAUCGGCCACACUGGAACUGAGACACGGUCCAGACUCCUACGGGAGGCAGCAGUAGGGAAUCUUCCGCAAUGGGCGAAAGCCUGACGGAGCAACGCCGCGUGAGUGAUGAAGGUUUUCGGAUCGUAAAACUCUGUUAUUAGGGAAGAACAAAUGUGUAAGUAACUAUGCACGUCUUGACGGUACCUAAUCAGAAAGCCACGGCUAACUACGUG
rnacentral:rRNA from 1 species